AGAAAUCAAGAGCAUUUAGAUUGGACAUUACACCAAUAUGGUGUGUAACAAAUCACAGAUAUAUGUUGUUAGAAUAUAUGAAUCAAUAAAAUAAAAUAUAAAUUUUCACAUUCAAGCUGGGAACUAAAAUCAAUGGAAAUAUAAGCAAGAAAUCAGAUUUAUCUAAUAUUUGCCAAAAUCCAUUACCAGUAAAGAAAAGUCAAGUGGUAGUAUUACAAGUGCAAGAGAGAAUUCUCAAUACAAAGCAGACAAAUGGGGGGUAUUAUUUUAGAAGAAACAUAAACGAAUACAUUCAUUCAUACAACAAAGUUACACAAACAUUGACUCUUAGCUAUACUUAAAUGACGUUAUGUACAAAAUCAACCCCUUGAAGAUGACUUUGACAUUACAAUCUCCUUGCAAACAUUUUUCAUUGUAGGGCGACAAUGCCGACUCUGUGUUAAGCAAUAUCACUUCUUUCCCAAUACAUUACCACACAAGUUUGUUAUUUCUGAGUGCUUCAAAUGAAGCAUUUUGGAAGGCUGAAAUGCUUGGAACGGAAGUGAUGAAAAAUUGAGAUUUUGAAGCAUACCUCUUAGUCCAAUAUUGGUGAGAUUUACCUUGUAGAUGGAUUAUGACAUCAAGGAUUAUUACCAAUCCAUGAAGAAAGCAAAACUUUGCUUUGCCUGUCAAAGCUUUCUUUCCACUUUAACAGACCGUCUGCCUCUCUCCAUAGGUUUUUUGACGCAAGAUUAGGUGAUGUGAUAACUACAAACACAUAAAAGAACAAAAGAAGACACAAGUUUGGUAAAUGCUUCAUUCUUUGAAAAUCACUCAAAGUAUAUAAUAGAACAAAAGACUUAUUAGGCUUUGUGCAUUUUAAUGAAUGUUUUGGAUGACAUUUAUGCACUCCUACCAGGGUCAUUAUAGUAAUUCUUUG
rnacentral:lncRNA from 1 species